CUACACAUCACAAUCAUAAACAAGAACCAAAAACUACAAUCUAAUCAUCUGAUUCAUUAUCUUCCUCAUCCUCAAAUACUUGAGGCAUAUGCUUCUUGACUAACGCCUCAAACUUAGCAAACUUGGCAUCACUAACUGCACACUGUUGCGUCAACUCUUCAAUUUUCUUUUUCAUCGCUUCCAUUUCUUUCGCAUCGCUUCAAUUUUUAACUUUUCUUUUCAUCGCUUCCAUUUCUUAGACAAACCUAAGUCAAAUCUGUGCACUCACUUGUGCUUUCAACAAGGUCACAAUCCAUUCAGGUACGUUUGGGAAAACUAUGGGGAACCUAGAAAAACAAGGGUUUGACUUAUCUAUUCUACAUAAUAAUAUACUGGCAGUUCUAAACAUUAUUUGCACAAUCCUAACAAAAUGGGAUUAGUGAUCAUUAACAUUACCUGUUGAUGCCAUUGAUUUUCUUUACUAACCACC
rnacentral:lncRNA from 1 species